rnacentral:rRNA from 1 species
GACGAACGCUGGCGGCGUGCUUAACACAUGCAGGUCGAACGGAAAGGCCCUGCUUGCAGGGUACUCGAGUGGCGAACGGGUGAGUAACACGUGGGUGAUCUGCCCUGCACUUCGGGAUAAGCCUGGGAAACUGGGUCUAAUACCGGACAGGAGCCAUUUUUAGUGUGAUGGUUGGAAAGUUUUUUCGGUGUAGGAUGAGCUCGCGGCCUAUCAGCUUGUUGGUGGGGUAAUGGCCUACCAAGGCGGCGACGGGUAGCCGGCCUGAGAGGGUGGACGGCCACAUUGGGACUGAGAUACGGCCCAGACUCCUACGGGAGGCAGCAGUGGGGAAUAUUGCACAAGGGGCGCAAGCCGGAUGCAGCGACGCCGCGUGGGGGAUGACGGCCUUCGGGUUGUAAACUCCUUUCGCUAGGGACGAAGCUUUUUGUGACGGUACCUAGAUAAGAAGCACCGGCUAACUACGUG